GAUGAACGCUGGCGGCGUGCCUAAUACAUGCAAGUCGAGCGAACAGACGAGGAGCUUGCUCCUCUGACGUUAGCGGCGGACGGGUGAGUAACACGUGGAUAACCUACCUAUAAGACUGGGAUAACUUCGAGAAACCGGAGCUAAUACCGGAUAAUAUAUUGAACCGCAUGGUUCAAUAGUGAAAGACGGUUUUGCUGUCACUUAUAGAUGGAUCCGCGCCGCAUUAGCUAGUUGGUAAGGUAACGGCUUACCAAGGCAACGAUGCGUAGCCGACCUGAGAGGGUGAUCGGCCACACUGGAACUGAGACACGGUCCAGACUCCUACGGGAGGCAGCAGUAGGGAAUCUUCCGCAAUGGGCGAAAGCCUGACGGAGCAACGCCGCGGGAGUGAUGAAGGUCUUCGGAUCGUAAAACUCUGUUAUUAGGGAAGAACAAAUGUGUAAGUAACGAUGCACGUCUUGACGGUACCUAAUCAGAAAGCCACGGCUAACUACGU
rnacentral:rRNA from 1 species